rnacentral:rRNA from 1 species
UGGAGCUUUACUGUAGCCUGAUAUUGAAAUUCGGUACAGUUUGUACAGGAUAGGUAGGAGCCUUAGAAGCGUGAGCGCUAGCUUACGUGGAGGCAUUGGUGGGAUACUACCCUAAUUGUAUUGGAUUUCUAACCCGCAGCACUUAUCGUGCUGGGAGACAGUGUCAGGCGGGCAGUUUGACUGGGGCGGUCGCCUCCUAAAGAGUAACGGAGGCGCUCAAAGGUUCCCUCAGAAUGGUUGGAAAUCAUUCAUAGAGUGUAAAGGCAUAAGGGAGCUUGACUGCGAGACCUACAAGUCGAGCAGGGUCGAAAGACGGACUUAGUGAUCCGGUGGUUCCGCAUGGAAGGGCCAUCGCUCAACGGAUAAAAGCUACCCCGGGGAUAACAGGCUUAUCUCCCCCAAGAGUUCACAUCGACGGGGAGGUUUGGCACCUCGAUGUCGGCUCAUCGCAUCCUGGGGCUGUAGUCGGUCCCAAGGGUUGGGCUGUUCGCCCAUUAAAGCGGUACGCGAGCUGGGUUCAGAACGUCGUGAGACAGUUCGGUCCCUAUCCGUCGUGGGCGUAGGAAAUUUGAGAGGAGCUGUCCUUAGUACGAGAGGACCGGGAUGGACAUACCUCUGGUGUACCAGUUGUCGUGCCAACGGCAUAGCUGGGUAGCUAUGUAUGGACGGGAUAAGUGCUGAAAGCAUCUAAGCAUGAAGCCCCCCUCGAGAUGAGAUUUCCCAACUUCGGUUAUAAGAUCCCUCAAAGAUGAUGAGGUGAAUAGGUUCGAGGUGGAAGCGUAGUGAUACGUGGAGCUGACGAAUACUAAUCGAUCGAAGACUUAAUCAA